rnacentral:rRNA from 1 species
GACUAACGCUGGCGGCGUGCCUAACACAUGCAAGUCGAACGGGCUUUUUACCAGUAGCAAUACCAGUAAAAAGCAAGUGGCGAACGGGUGAGUAACACGUAGAUAAUCUGCCUUUCAGAAGGGGACAACCCAGGGAAACUUGGGCUAAUACCCUAUGAGACCACAUUGGGGGACUGGUGUGGCCAAAAGUGGGCUUUCGGGCUCACGCUGAGAGAUGAGUCUGCGUCCUAUCAGCUUGUUGGUGGGGUAAUUGCCUACCAAGGCCAAGACGGGUAGCCGGCCUGAGAGGGUGAACGGCCACACUGGGACUGAGACACGGCCCAGACUCCUACGGGAGGCAGCAGUGAGGAAUUUUCCGCAAUGGGCGCAAGCCUGACGGAGCGACGCCGCGUGAGGGAUGACGGCUUUCGGGUUGUAAACCUCUUUUAUUAAGGAAAAAUUUAGUGGUGUUAAUACCACCAUUGAUUGAUGGUACUUAUUGAAUAAGCCCCGGCUAACUACGUGCCAGCAGCCGCGGUAAUACGUAGGGGGCGAGCGUUGUCCGGAGUUACUGGGCGUAAAGAGCGUGUAGGCGGUUGGAAAAGUCAGGUGUGAAAUCUUUCGGCUCAACCGGGAGACUGCGCCUG